rnacentral:lncRNA from 1 species
UCAAGAUAUAUCGAGAUAAGAGUUUUAAACGGAUGAUGAAUGCUCGGAUGGUCGAGCUAGACAACUCGUAUCCAAACAAUUAGGGAAAAUAAUAGUAGACACUAAAUCGUUCCUUUUUCACCCAAUUAAUUGUAAAAAAGAUUUAAUCGAGUUAUUAAGUUUUGAAUAAAUGACAAAUACUCAAAUGGUCGAGCUAUACGACUCAUAUCCAAAUAUUCCAGGAAAAG